GAUGAACGCUGGCGGCGUGCCUAACACAUGCAAGUCGAGCGAACAGACGAGGAGCUUGCUCCGCUGACGUUAGCGGAGGACGGGUGAGUAACAUGUGGAUAACCUACCUAUCAGACUGGGAUAACUACGGGAAACCGGAGCUAACACCGGAUAAUAUAUUGAACCGCAUGGUUCAAUAGUGAAAGACGGUUUUGCUGUCACUAAUAGCUGGAUACGCGCCGCAUUAGCUAGUUGGUGAGGUAACGGCUUACCAAGGCGACGAUGCGUAGCCGACCUGAGAGGGGGAUCGGCCACACUGGAACUGAGACACGGUCCAGACUCCUACGGGAGGCAGCAGUAGGGAAUCUUCCGCAAUGGGCGAAAGCCUGACGGAGCAACGCCGCGUGAGUGAUGAAGGUCUUCGGAUCGUAAAACUCUGUUCUUAGGGAAGAACAAAUGUGUAAGUUACUAUGCACGUCUUGACGGUACCUAAUCAGAAAGCCACGGCUAACUACGUG
rnacentral:rRNA from 1 species